AUUUAAUAAGCAGAUUACAAAACAUAUAAGCAGAAUGAAACAAAAAACAAAACAAAAUAGUAGGGACAUCAACAACACACAAUUGAAAGAGAGAGCAGCGGUAACUAAUGGCGCCAGCGUUCACUCUCCCUUUAUUAUAUAUAUUUAU